rnacentral:ncRNA from 1 species
GGUCAAGAGCGCCAGCGCCAAGCCCCGGCUCGCUGGCCGGCAACCCCCUCCUCGCGGUGGGGUGCCCCGGGUGAAGACCUGGCCGAACGCCCCGGCGGCGGCAAGCGCGGGU